rnacentral:rRNA from 1 species
AAAGCCCCGCAAGGGGUCAGUAGAGUGGCAAACGGGUGAGUAACACGUGGGUGACCUGCCUUCGAGCGGGGGAUAACGUCCCGAAAGGGACGCUAAUACCGCAUGACAUCCUGCUUUUCAAGAGGUGGAGAUCAAAGCUGGGGAUCGCAAGACCUAGCACUCGAAGAGGGGCCCGCGCCUGAUUAGCUAGUAGGUGGGGUAACGGCUCACCAAGGCGACGAUCAGUAUCCGGCCUGAGAGGGCGGACGGACACACUGGGACUGAGACACGGCCCAGACUCCUACGGGAGGCAGCAGUGGGGAAUUGUUCGCAAUGGGCGCAAGCCUGACGACGCAACGCCGCGUGGAGGAUGAAGACCUUCGGGUCGUAAACUCCUUUCGAUCGAGACGAAUGGCCUCGGGAUGAAUACUCCCGGGGAGUGACGGUACCGAGAGAAGAAGCCCCGGCUAACUCCGUGCCAGCAGCCGCGGUAAUACGGGGGGGGCAAGCGUUGUUCGGAAUUACUGGGCGUAUAGGGCUCGUAGGCGGCCAACUAAGUCAGACGUGAAAUCCCUCGGCUUAACCGGGGAACUGCAUCUGAUACUGGAUGGCUUGAGAUUGGGAGAGGGAUGCGGAAUUCCAGGUGUAGCGGUGAAAUGCGUAGAUAUCUGGAGGAACACCGGUGGCGAAGGCGGCAUCCUGGACCAACACUGACGCUGAGGAGCGAAAGCCAGGGGAGCAAACGGGAUUAGAUACCCCGGUAGUCCUGGCCCUAAACGAUGAAUGCUUGGUGUGGCGGGUAUCGAUCCCUGCCGUGCCGAAGCUAACGCAUUAAGCAUUCCGCCUGGGGAGUACGGUCGCAAGGCUGAAACUC